rnacentral:rRNA from 1 species
UACAGAGGAGCCAAGCGUUGUCCGGAUUGACUGGGCGUUAAGCGCACGCAGGCGGACGCGCGCGUGGGGUGUGAAAUCUGGCCGCUUAACGGCCAGGCGCCAUCCCAUACGGCGCGUCUGGAGUGAUGCAGAGGUCGGUGGAAUUGCCGGUGUAGUGGUGAAAUGCGUAGAUAUCGUAAGGAAGACCAGUGGCGAAGGCGGGUCUCUGGACAGUUCCUGACACUGAGACACGAAGGCCAGGGGAGCAAACGGG